rnacentral:rRNA from 1 species
CAUGGGGUGCAAACGUUGCUCGGAAUUAUUGGGCGUAAAGCGCGCGUAGGCGGUUAUCUAAGUUGGAUGUGAAAGCCCUCGGCUUAACUGAGGAAGUGCACCCAAAACUGGAUAGCUGGAGUACGAAAGAGGGUCGCGGAAUUCCCGGUGUAGAGGUGAAAUUCGUAGAUAUCGGGAGGAACACCGGUGGCGAAGGCGGCGACCUGGGUCGAGACUGACGCUGAGGCGCGAAAGCGUGGGGAGCAAACAGGAUCAGAUACCCUGGUAGUCCACGCCGUAAACGAUGGGUGCUAGAUGUUUCUGGUAUUGACCCCGGAGGCGUCGUAGCUAACGCGUUAAGCACCCCGCCUGGGGAGUACGGCCGCAAGGCUA